rnacentral:rRNA from 1 species
UACGGAGGGUGCAAGCGUUAUCCGGAUUCACUGGGUUUAAAGGGUGCGUAGGCGGAUGUGUCAGUCAGGGGUGAAAUCCCGGAGCUCAACUUCGGAACUGCCUUUGAUACAGCACAUCUGGAGUCCGGGAGAGGGAUGCAGAAUUCCGAGGUGUAGCGGUGGAAUGCGUAGAGAUCCGGAAGAACACCAGUGGCGAAGGCGGCUCACUGGCCCGGUACUGACGCUGAGGUGCGAAAGCGUGGGGAGCAAACAGG